rnacentral:rRNA from 1 species
GACGAACGCUGGCGGCGUGCUUAACACAUGCAAGUCGAACGGAAAGGCCCUGCUUUUGUGGGGUGCUCGAGUGGCGAACGGGUGAGUAACACGUGAGUAACCUGCCCUUGACUUUGGGAUAACUUCAGGAAACUGGGGCUAAUACCGGAUAGGAGCUCCUGCUGCAUGGUGGGGGUUGGAAAGUUUCGGCGGUUGGGGAUGGACUCGCGGCUUAUCAGCUUGUUGGUGGGGUAGUGGCUUACCAAGGCUUUGACGGGUAGCCGGCCUGAGAGGGUGACCGGCCACAUUGGGACUGAGAUACAGCCCAGACUCCUACGGAAGGCAGCAGUGGGGAAUAUUGCACAAUGGGCGGAAGCCUGAUGCAGCAACGCCGCGUGCGGGAUGACGGCCUUCGGGUUGUAAACCGCUUUCGCCUGUGACGAAGCGUGAGUGACGGUAAUGGGUAAAGAAGCACCGGCUAACUACGUG